UAUUUCUUCAUGUUGUUGUUUAGGUUACCGAGUCGACAGAUUUCAAUGAACUAGUUAACAAAGAACCAUGGCUUUCAUCGACAAAACUAGUUGUCAAACCUGAUAUGUUAUUCGGCAAACGAGGGAAAAGUGGUCUUGUUGCCUUAAAACUCGAUUUGGCUCAAGUUGCCGCUUUCGUGAAAGAGCGGCUAGGCAAGGAGGUACUUGAUACAAAUUUCUCACAAAUACAUACAUUAAAAUAUGAAAUGUAUAAUCUGGACGAUGGUUCAACGUGUAUUCAAUUUUUUUUUAAGCUGUGUUUGUUUCGGAGUUAACAGGUGGAGAUGGGAGGCUGCAAAGGUCCCAUUACAACAUUUAUCGUCGAACCAUUUAUUCCCCAUAAUGAAGAGUUCUACCUCAAUAUUGUCUCUGAGAGGCUUGGUUGUAGCAUCAGUUUUUCAGAAUGUGGAGGAAUUGAAAUUGAAGAGAACUGGGACAAGGUACUCAAAACCUACCUAUAUAAUUAAUCUGGCCAAAGGCAUCUUAUAAAUUUUUCCCAAAUAUAUUUUAUAUGUUCCACAUAAAUCUUAUUAACAAUUUUAUUUCUGUACCUAUGUCCCUCUUAAAUCUUACUAACAGAUGAUAUUUGUUUCUUUUUUCCCCCCUAUACAGGUUAAGACUAUCUUUUUGCCAACUGGUGUAUCUUUUACAUCAGAGCUAUGUGCUCCUCUUGUGGCAACCCUUCCCAUGGAGGUAUAUCUAUUAAUACUUCACAUGUUGUCCAUUUCUCAUGCUCAUUGUUUAGAGCAUGUUUGGCUAAGCUUAAAUUGUUCACGUGUAUAAGUAAAUUUAUUUAAUUAAAUAAGUAAUUUUUAAAUAAUUAUUUUUUAUCUCGUCAAUGAGAAACAAAGUAAGUAGUUACUUAUUUUGACUAUGAGGUAAUACUUAUUUUCAAAAAUUGUAACUUUUCUUACUUAAAAGUAGGGAAAAUAUAAGUUAUUUAAAUAUUUUUGGAGAUAAAAGUUGCUCAAUACUAAAUUCACUUUUUCUUAAACGUUGCCAAACAUGGUUUCUAUAGACUGCGGAGAAAAACAUUGACUUCCGUGGUAAAACUAACAUAUCAAAGUCAGUUCCACCUAGACUACAAUAUUCUUUACAUUUAAGUGCUGUUGUUUAAAGUUCCAUAUUUAUAUUCUUCUCUAUGAUACAGGUCAAAGGUGUGAUUGAGGAGUUCAUCAAAGUAAUCUAUACUUUAUUUUUAGGUAAGCUUGAGAUUUUCAAGAUAAAUUUUCACUUAAAAAUAUCUAAUGUUACAAAAGUUCUUGGAUUUUGGCAACGAACAUGAUAUCGAUUUUUUAUGUCUUAGAUUUGGACUUCACUUUCCUUGAGAUGAAUCCUUUCACCUUGGUUGAGGGAAAGCCAUAUCCUUUGGAUAUGAGAGGCGAGCUUGAUGAUACUGCUGCAUUUAAGAACUUCAAAAAGUAAUUUGAUCCCGUCUUUUGUUGAUUGUUGCUAAUUCAGUGCAUGUUUGUUAUACCAUACAGUUUCUUAUGUGACAUUGAUAUUGCAGAUGGGGAAGUAUUGAAUUUCCAAUGCCGUUUGGAAGAGUUCUGAGUUCUACAGAAAGCUUUAUUCACGGGCUGGAUGAGAAGGUAUGUAUCGAUACAAUUUACCUAUGUCAGAAAAAACUUAUUUGUCAAACAUACAUAAAUAACUCUUUUUUCUUACUCUUAAGAAAAGUUAUUUAUCUAGAAUUAAGAUUUUGUUAUUGUUCUGACUAAAAUUAAAUCGUUGGGAUUAGGUAGGCGAAGCAUUAGUACAAUUGAAUAUACUUAUAUCUCAUCAUCUUACACUUUAUAAAUGUGAAACACAACUAGACAACAUAAUGGACUAGAUUUUGGCUCUUGUAUAUGAUUGUUUGGAUUUGGUAUGUAAUUCUUAAUUUAACUUUAAUAAUGCGAUAUUUCUUCAUGUUGUUGUUUAGGUUACCGAGUCGACAGAUUUCAAUGAACUAGUUGACAAAGAACCAUGGCUUUCAUCGACAAAACUAGUUGUCAAACCUGAUAUGUUAUUCGGCAAACGAGGGAAAAGUGGUCUUGUUGCCUUAAAACUCGAUUUGGCUCAAGUUGCCGCUUUCGUGAAAGAGCGGCUAGGCAAGGA
rnacentral:lncRNA from 1 species